GUGCUUGCUUCAGCAGCACUUAUACUAAAAUUGGAGUGAUACAGGGAAGAUUAGCUAUGGACCAUGCACAAGGAUGACACAAAUUCAUGAAGCAUUCCAUAAAAAA
rnacentral:snRNA from 1 species